AAAAGACUUCCUCUUUCCUUCUCCUUCCCUCUCCCACAUAUUCUCAUCUCUCUUGAAAACCUUCACUGCCACUCUUACAGUCUCAAAAAUAGUUGGAAUCAAAGGUGAACACGGUGCAAGCACAAGUGCUAAAGGAAAGGAACCGGUCCAAGGUUGAGUAAACAAGUAAAAAGGUUUUUUGUGACGUGUACAGAGUAUUGAAGCGAGUGUUAUCGCUAGUUGGCAGCUGCGCGUGUCAAGUCACCACCCCUUUUUGCUGGUAAUGUUGACGUAUACGUGGCAUGCUUAGGUGGAUUUUUGGGUUGUAAAUAUUGGUUAUGAAGUUGUAAGGUUAUAACUCUCUUUUGAUAGUGGAGUUGUAAAUAUCUAUCGAAAAAUGUGAAGUUGUUUUGUUAUGUAUAGAAAUGAAGAGUUGUUGUAUCAUACCAGGUUUAGUGUUUAUAUUAUAGUAUGUGUGUAGAAUAGUUUCCGUUUAUUUAAAAAAAAUAAUAUAAGCAGUAUUUAUAUAGUUGUUAA